rnacentral:rRNA from 1 species
UACAGAGGGUGCAAGCGUUGUCCGGAAUCACUGGGCGUAAAGGGCGCGUAGGUGGCACGGGUAGUCGUCGGUGAAAGCUCAGGGCUCAACCCUGAGUCGGCCGGUGAUACUCCCGAGCUCGAGUGUGGUAGAGGCCAAUGGAAUUCCGGGUGUAGCGGUGGAAUGCGUAGAGAUCCGGAAGAACACCGGUGGCGAAGGCGGUUGGCUGGGCCACAACUGACACUGAUGCGCGACAGCGUGGGGAGCAAACAGG